AAACACAGAUGAGUGACUUUAAUGUGGGUUCUUUUGUUUUCCUGUUUAAUUUGACUUUCCAGAUUUGCAGUUGAUGAUGUGCUGGCCAACUAAGUCCCAACACCCACGAAACUAUAAAAUGCAAAAGCACAAAGGCUUGGGGAAGAUGGCAAGUUAUAACAGAAUAAAGAAAGAUAUCAGGAGGAACAACUCCAGUUCCAGGAUCUUUUUCCAGAUAUUAGCUGGCAGUUCACCCCUCCUUCCACCUGUAGUACCAGCCAUUCAUGCCACUAUCCUGCCAACAGACUAUAGACACAAACUCAGCACCCAGGAAAUGAUGUUCUCUUCUGGGAGAUUCUGUGGACAGAAUCCAGAGAAGCUACGAAGUCUG
rnacentral:lncRNA from 1 species